rnacentral:lncRNA from 12 species
AUGACCAUCGUUUUCGUCAACUGUCACCUCAGACGCAAGAACAGGAAGCUGAAGCGAGCGCUCAGCGUCAGAACGGAGGAGAUGAUCAGUCUGUCGCGACAGGUUUCCAUGAGGAGACUCAACUCCAUCAAUGGAGAUCCCAGGACAGCGCUGGAGGAGGGUUCACUGAUUCAGAUGGACAGUGUGAUGAAGGGCAGUGUUUUAUCAGUGGAGGAUCAUUCAGCGCUGAGUGACGUGAGAGGCAGACGUGGAGUCGGAGAGUAUGAUAGUCUGGGACGUCCCGCCAUCUACACGCCGUACCGGCCGGAGCGAUCCAGCAAGAUCAUGAGAGAGAGUGAGGAGGAGAGAAAGGAGCGCAGACGGAGAGUCGAGUCCUUCGUCAAAUCCAGCAACAUGUCACUGGAUUCAGGGCUUCACCGGGAUCAGAGUUCUCCUCCUCCGUCCAUGAGCUCGGGUCUGACUGUAGAUGCCAUCGGUGAAGGAUGGAAGCGCGGCUCUCGCAGAGAGAUUCACCGAGACGUGCAGCGAGAGCGAGUUCCUGAAGGAGAAGAGGAAAGCUCCGCUGUGAACUCCUAUCAGCUAUCCGAGGCCGUUUCCAACUACUUCCAGUGCAGCAACGGCGGACUGACGCCAAAGGCAAACACCAAUGGCAUCAUCAUACACUCGCAGAGAUCGGUCAUGUGA